UUCAUUCCAACAGCUAAAUACAUCACCAUAUAUAAUAUCACAUCUUCAAACACCUUUCUUUAAUUUCCUUCGCCAGCCAGCUAUCUCUUCUCCAUCCGGCCGGCCGCCGUCGGUUUUUCUUCCUUAUUCAUAUAUAUUUAAUUAUAUUAUACGAACAAUUAAAAUUAAGUUUCUAUAUAUAUAUAUAGUUAUAUAGUUAUACUGU
rnacentral:lncRNA from 1 species